CGCAAUCCAAGUCCUUCAAAACACAAAAACGCAGAAACCUCAUCUCUUCCAGUUCCAGGUCCAACCCAAACGCAGAAACGCACGCAAACCAAAGAAUCAAAAUCGGCGAAGCUAUGGAGUUUGAGUUGCAAUUCCUUCAACCACAAAUGCCUCCAAAUUCCUAACUCGUUCCAAAUCUUCAUCUUUUAGUCAUUUCAAAUCCCUAACAUGUUCUAAAUCCCUAAUCUCUAAAUCCAAAUCCAAAUCGACGAAGCUUCUCUCGUUUUGUCGCAAAAUCCAAAUCCAAAUCCCUAAUCUCGUUCAUCGUUCCAAUCCCUAAUCUCUAAAUCUCUCUCCAAAUCGACGAAGCUUCUCUCGUUUUGUCUUCGUGUGAACAAGGAACUUAGGACAUCUGAAAAGAUUAAAGCGAUUACUAUUCCUAUGAGGUUGGAAAAGACCCAAGGUCAGUCAUGAGGGGAGCAUAUAACAUGUUUGAAGAAGGUGGAGAUCCUGAAAAGGUAAAUUGCAUUUUUUUGCAAGACUGGUACUCUAACUAUUGGGAAGCGCCUACAUACAAAACUUUUGAUCAACUUGCAAGUCUUCUUAUGGGCAAAGGAUUGAUUUUAAAUAUUACAGUAUGUACACAUUUCUUAGCUAGACCAAAAAAUGCAACAUGUAAGAUGCAAAUCCAUUCUUUAACGCAAGUCUGUUGAUUAUAUGGCUUUCCAAGGUUUAAUGUCGUUGUAGAAAUUGGAUCAUGUCAUGGUAUCAAGAUGAAGAUCAUUCAUAAUUGGUUCUAUACACUAUAGUCUACUGAUAUAGUUAAUAGUAGAAUUAUCAUUCCUGUGGUAUAAAUGAAUAUUAGUGACUGUGCUGAAAUAUUUAUUUACUUCUUCAUCUAAAUAAUGAUAUUCAUUGAGAAUUUUUUUUUAACCUUCACUCUAUCUUCAAUUGUAGAAAUAACUUGUUCAUACUUUUUUUUACAUGAUUAUUCACCCAUUCACUCAGGCUUCUUGUUUUUCUGAGGUUUUGUUUUGAUGGUGUUGGUUCUAGUGUGAUAUACUUUUUUGUUUGUUUGUAUAUGUGUAUUACUAAUACUAUAAUCAUCUUUGUAGUGUAACAUGUCUUGCCUUUAUUUCUCUUACAAGAAAACACCGAAAAGUUGACUAAUGGUGCAAUUGCAACUCUUGUGGAUGAAGUUGGACGGCGGUAAUGAAGUGGUUAAGGAAAAAAUGUAACCGAAUAAGAAGAGUCAAGAGAUGGUAGGCGUUCCGAUUCUAGCUAGCACUAAUUAAGGAUUAUGAAGCAACAUCACAUACUAGGGAUAUUUAGUUUUUUUUUGUUUGGAACUUCGAGUAAUUUAAUUAAAUUUUUGAUCUAUGGAUGUUGUCACUAUUGAAUGAAUUAUAUAAAUGAGAUUAAGUUAUUUAUAUUUA